UACGUAGGGGGCAAGCGUUGUCCGGAAUCCUUGGGCGUAAAGAGCGUGUAGGCGGCCCGAUAAGUCCGCUGUGAAAGUCCAGGGCUCAACCCUGGAAUGCCAGUGGAAACUGUCGGGCUAGAGUCCGGAAGAGGCGAGUGGAAUUCCCGGUGUAGCGGUGAAAUGCGCAGAUAUCGGGAGGAACACCUAUGGCGAAGGCAGCUCGCUGGAACGGUACUGACGCUGAGGCGCGAAAGCGUGGGGAGCAAACAGG
rnacentral:rRNA from 1 species